CUGAGUGGAGACCUCUUCUGGGCGACUACUCGACGACGACUACUGGGGGAAACAACAGAUCUGGCGACGACGAGCUUCAGACGUUUCUGAUCUAAAGGGGAGUGUUGCCAUCUUGUUCUGUUUAAAUCAUUCAGAAGGCUGUGAAUUUCAUUGAGUAUGAUUCUUUGUUUCCUGAUGAAGAGAAGCAAGGAUUAUGGUGUUGAAAUUGUCCAAGCCAAGGAUGGAACUAUUUCAGUUGCCACCGCAUUUGCAGGCCACCAGGAAGCAUUCUAAUGCUCUAAUGUUUAUAUAUUGUCAUUACACCUUAAAUGGUCUCACCUCUAUUACAUCUGCUACUUGCAUAUGACUAAUCAGAAUGCUAUCACAAGGAGAUUGACUGCACACUUCCUCCUUUGGUCCAAUGUUGGUGGCAGUAUGCAUAGAUAAUAGUUUGCAGAUAUGUAAUAAUUUGGAGAUUAAAUAAGAAGUUAAAUUCUAGAAUGUUUUAAAUGUUUAAUUGUAUAUUCAUGAAUAAUUCUCUUCAUGAAAUGUGUAUAUGUUUUUCAACAAUUAUCUUA